rnacentral:lncRNA from 1 species
CAAGAAUCAAAGUGUGCAAAGGGAAUUGGCACCACUCACUCUUAUCCCUGGUGACUCACUAGAAAAAUGUUUGAUUUCUGUUCCUGCGCCUUUAUGGUCUACUGACCAAGAGAUCUUAUUUCCAAAGUAAAGAAUGCUUCCAUCAGGAGACGCAACAGUGCUUCUAUUGAUAUGAAGGUUAAUAGUACUGCCCGUCUACUCAGGGCUCCUUAUGCCUCUGAAUCACCAGGCAAAAAAGGAAGUUACUGUGCUGGCUGAGGUCAGUGAUCCUGAAUAACAAGGAGAAACUGAACAACGACUCCACAGUACAGGUUGCUUUUUGGAACCCAGCCCUUAUGCUAUCAGGACUCUGCAGCAACGAGAAGAAGAGGCCACUGAAAGAGAAUCCAGCCUCUCUGGUCAACAGCAGUAGCUUAACCCUCCGUCAAGCCUACGGUUGGAUACGAUUGCCCUGAAGUCCCAUCUAAGUCCACAUGGAACAGAACAGUCCAGUAAGCCCACAUGAGGCUGACAAACAGUAAGUCAUCACUCUAAAUCAUCAAGAAGUGGGAUGGUUGUUACACAACUGAAACAAGUCCUAAGCAAAUGCUUGUUGUUUAGAAAUCAACAGGAAAAAGAUAACCAUAUAAAUUGUGUUUUUAUUUUCAGCUUCCCUUUUUACUUUCAUGGCUACCCCCAGGUAUUAUAGCAUCUUUUUCAAUAUAUUUUUCCUAUUUACAUAUAUUUUCUCCAGUGACACUUUAAUUUUUUCUAAAAGGGUCUACUAUACUACACUUUUUAAACUAAUGUCAAUUACCAAAGACUUUCACUGCCUCUUUCUUCUUUUAAGAUUUUAAAAUUUGAAACGUUAUAUUCUUUAAAGCAGCACAAACUAACAAGCCAACAACUUGAGAAAAUAUAUUAUGUAUAUUUUAAUUUUUAUAAUAUAAUCAUUAUAUUACAUGAUGACAAAGUAAAUCAAUUUUUCUCACCCUUGUCUUCAUAUUCCUCUUCUGUCUAUCUAAUCACAAAGACAAUCAAAUAUCAAUUCAGUGUUUAAUGCAGAGGAAAAAAUUUAUGUAAGAGGUUAUAACUGACAAAAUGAAACUAUACAAUCUUUUGAAACAUAGCAUAAAGUUUUAAAUAUUAGAUUCAUUAAUAUGAAAAUUGAUUCUGUCUUUUUAUUAUAUUGACCCUUUAGGCUUAAUAAGACCAACCACCACCCCCAAAAUUAAAAUAAAACCUGGCUCUACUUCCAGUAUAAGUACCAAUAGCUGAAGCUCGUGGCAUUACUAAGUAAUUGUACUUACGGCUAUAUGAUCUAUUAUGCUUCUCAUUGUGUGAAACUCUGCCUACUUAAAGCUAUAUUUUAUUUUUCUUCCAUCGUGAAGAUCAGAUCUAGAGAUGAUCCAGAGAACAGCUUUAGUUAACAAGAAGGACUCUUAUUUUUUCCACCCAUGACCAGGCAAUUUUUUUUACUUGUUCUUUCUGUACGCUGUGUAACCUCACAUCAAAGCAUGUUUCCAACUCUGCUAAGUGACACUUUAUUGUAUCUAAAUCUGAAUAGGGCUUACUCUCUGCCCUUAUUUGUAACCCUUACCUGACCUUUUCCAUGUUAGCUUGCAGUUGCAUUAUCACCACCACGAUGACAGCUCCAUUUUGUUUUUUUAGCUGUCAUUUUCCCAACAUUCCAUUAGUUCUUCAGAUUGCCUUGUGCUUCCAACGAAUCAUUACAACAUAUUUAUUGAUUAGACUUCUCUCCAGAUACAAGGUGUUUAAACAUGAGUUAUCAAGAUAAAACAAUACAUAUUUUAUGUUUAUUUUGAUACAAAAAAAUCUAUUUUCCAAAUUAAGUAAUACUCUCACAUGAAUUUACUAUUACCUAUUCAGCCAAAUAUUCC